GUGUCAGGAAGACAAAAUAAAAUAAUCGUUAAUUUUUUUAAUUGUUGGCGUUUUACUUUUUGUUAUUGCCAACAGCGAGCGGGGAGAGCUAGAAUUAAGCAACUUGAUACGAAUUAUCAGUCUUGACAAAAAUACGAUAUGUCGUAACAAAUCGUACCAGAAGUGGAGAAAAACUUACUAAUUGUGGUGUAAUUGGUACCUUGAAACCAUAUAUUGGGCGACUAGAAGACUUUUUUUGAAAAUCGUACAUAAAGACCUGUAGCUACAUCUAUAAAGAAAGUACCAAAUAGUACCAAUUUUGUUACCAAAAUGUACGAAUUUUGAACAGAUCAUUUAGUCAACCAUCAUAUAUUUCCUAGUUCUACCUAAAUGAACAAUUUCAGACCUUUAGCUCCAUCUGUAAACUCUAUCCAUCCGCCCUGUAUAAAGCUCACCCAUUUCCUACAUUUUUGGUACGUUUUUAGUACCUAAAUUUACAAAUUUCCAAAAACUCUUCUUGUCAUCCAAUUAAGUUUGCCAUGGUAUACCUGAGUUUCAAAAUUCAGAGCUUUAGCUCAAUUUACAUGUACUAUCUUGGGAAAAUUUUGCCACCAAAUCUUAUUUCUUCGAGACGCUCUUUCAUUUGAGCCCAAAAUCAUAAUUGUAGAUUUCGCACUUUUUGGUUUUUUUAGUACCUAAACGUAUGAAUAUCAACAAAUCCCGUCUUAUUCCUUGCCUAUGAUCCAACGCCAACAUUUGUGCAAGAUUUUAUGAUUCUACCUUUAGCUGUUUGGGCUGGGCGACGAUCAGUCAGUCAGCCACGCUAUUCUUUUAUAUAUUUUGACAAUGACAUAGUAAACAAAAAUGAAAAAAAACCAAACAAAUAAAAAUUUAAAAAAUUUUUUAAUGAGAAAUA